rnacentral:rRNA from 2 species
UGCAGUCGAGCGGACCGACGGGAGCUUGCUCCCUUAGGUCAGCGGCGGACGGGUGAGUAACACGUGGGUAACCUGCCUGUAAGACUGGGAUAACUCCGGGAAACCGGGGCUAAUACCGGAUGCUUGAUUGAACCGCAUGGUUCAAUCAUAAAAGGUGGCUUUUAGCUACCACUUACAGAUGGACCCGCGGCGCAUUAGCUAGUUGGUGAGGUAACGGCUCACCAAGGCGACGAUGCGUAGCCGACCUGAGAGGGUGAUCGGCCACACUGGGACUGAGACACGGCCCAGACUCCUACGGGAGGCAGCAGUAGGGAAUCUUCCGCAAUGGACGAAAGUCUGACGGAGCAACGCCGCGUGAGUGAUGAAGGUUUUCGGAUCGUAAAACUCUGUUGUUAGGGAAGAACAAGUACCGUUCGAAUAGGGCGGUACCUUGACGGUACCUAACCAGAAAGCCACGGCUAACUACGUGCCAGCAGCCGCGGUAAUACGUAGGUGGCAAGCGUUGUCCGGAAUUAUUGGGCGUAAAGCGCGCGCAGGCGGUUUCUUAAGUCUGAUGUGAAAGCCCCCGGCUCAACCGGGGAGGGUCAUUGGAAACUGGGGAACUUGAGUGCAGAAGAGGAGAGUGGAAUUCCACGUGUAGCGGUGAAAUGCGUAGAGAUGUGGAGGAACACCAGUGGCGAAGGCGACUCUCUGGUCUGUAACUGACGCUGAGGCGCGAAAGCGUGGGGAG